rnacentral:rRNA from 1 species
AGCCAGACUCCUACGGGAGGCAGCAGUGGGGAAUAUUGGGCAAUGGGCGUAAGCCUGACCCAGCAACGCCGCGUGAAGGAAGAAGGCUUUCGGGUUGUAAACUUCUUUUCUCAGGGACGAAGAAAGUGGCGGUACCUGAGGAAUAAGCCACGGCUAACUACGUGCCAGCAGCCGCGGGAAUACGUAGGUGGCAAGCGUUAUCCGGAUUUAUUGGGUGUAAAGGGCGUGUAGGCGGGAGCGCAAGUCAGAUGUGAAAACUCAGGGCUCAACCCUGAGCCUGCAUUUGAAACUGUGUUUCUUGAGUGCUGGAGAGGCAAUUGGAAUUCCGUGUGUAGCGGUGAAAUGCGUAGAUAUACGGAGGAACACCAGUGGCGAAGGCGGAUUGCUGGACAGUAACUGACGCUGAGGCGCGAAAGCGUGGGUAUCGAACAGGAUUAGAUACCCUCGUA